rnacentral:rRNA from 1 species
CUACGGGGGGCAGCAGUAAGGAAUAUUGCGCAAUGGAGGCAACUCUGACGCAGCCAUGCCGCGUGCAGGAAGAAGGCCUUAUGGGUCGUAAACUGCUUUUAUUUAGGAAUAAACCCCCGAACGUGUUCGGGGCUGAAGGUACUAAACGAAUAAGCACCGGCUAACUCCGGGCCAGCAGCCGCGGUAAUACGGAGGGUGCAAGCGUUAUCCGGAUUUAUUGGGUUUAAAGGGUGCGCAGGCGGGCUAUUAAGUCAGUGGUGAAAUCCCGGGGCUCAACCCCGGAACUGCCAUUGAUACUGAUAGUCUUGAGUUUGGUUGAAGUGGGCGGAAUGUAGCAUGUAGCGGUGAAAUGCAUAGAUAUGCUACAGAACACCAAUCGCGAAGGCAGCUCACUAAGCCAAAACUGACGCUCGUGCACGAAAGCGUGGGGAUCAAACAGGAUUAGAUACCCUGGUAGUC